rnacentral:lncRNA from 1 species
CUUGGUCCAUUCCGAGUCUCUCAAUUUUUUGAUUGUGCCCUGCAACCUGGUCAAAACCCAAAAGAACCGUGGUUUUUCAAUAACCCACUGUCCGGGCCAAAUAUUUGAUAUUAAAACCCAUCAUCUCUCAUCUUGUCAUUCACAAAUCAGAAGAAUACUAUGCCCUGGCUUCAGUCGUCUCUUGCAAUUCUACUCCCAAGAAUCCAAACCUUCGAUUUCAAUCUGUAUUAGAUGAAAGAAGAUGUAAGUCUAGAAUUUACGAUUUUCUUUGAUAAAUUUCAAUUUUUUGCCAUUAAAAUAUGUGAAAAAAAUUCUGCAUUGGUGAAUUUUGGAAGAUUUUUACCAGAAUUUCGUAUUAUAGUUGUCUCUAUGUUUAAUACUAUGUACAAUAAUUGUUAUUUUAAUUUAAUUUCAUGGGUGAAUAUGGAAUCUAUUUUGUCUGCAAUUUAUUCAUUUUUGUUGAAUUAGUGAAUGGUAAAUGCUUGGGUUACUGAUUUCACUUGGUGGC